ACAUGUGAAGAACAUGCAAGAUAGUUGCAUAGGUACACACGUGGCAGUGUGAUUUGCUGCCUUCCUCCCCUUCACCUAUGUCUGGCAUUACUCCCCAUGCUAUCUCUCCCCAACUCCCCACCUUCUGCUGUCCCUCCCCUAUUCCCCCCAACAGACCCCAGUGUGUAGUGCUCCCCUCCCUGUGUCCAUGUGUUCUCAUUGUUCAACAUCUGCCUAAGAGUGAGAACAUGCGGUAUUUCAUUUUCUGUUCUUGUGUCAGUUUGCCGAGAAUGAUGGUUUCCAGGUUCAUCCAUGUCCCUACAAAGGACAUGAAUUCAUCGUUUUUUUAUGGCUGCAUAGUAUUCCAUGGUGUAUAUGUGCCACAGUUUCCCUGUCCAGUCUAUCAUCGAUGGGCAUGUGGGUUGGUUCCAGGUCUUUGCUAUUGUAAGCAGUGCUGCAAUGAACAUUCAUGUGCGUGUGUCCUUAUAGUAGAACGAUUUAUAAUCCUUUGGAUAUAUACCCAGUAAUGGGAUUGCUGGGUCAAAUGGAAUUUCUGUUUCUAGGUCCUUGAGGAAUUGCCACACUGUCUUUCACAAUGGUUGAACUAAUUUACACUCCCACCAGCAGUGUAAAAGUGUCCCUAUUUCUCCACAUCCUCUCCAGCAUCUGUUGUCUCCAGAUUUUUUAAUGAUCGCCAUUCUAACUGGCAUGAGAUGGUAUAUCAAUGUAGUUUUGAUUUGUAUUUCUCUAAUGACCAGUGAAAAUGAGCAUUUUUUCAUGUUUCUUGGCCUCAUGUAUGUCUUCUUUUGUAAAGUGAAUAUGACUAGUAUUUAAAGUCCAAUUGAUGCUUUAUGAUCCUUAUGUUAUUUUUUCUUUAUGAUUGGCUCUUUCCCUCCUCCUCUCUUUUUAUUUUAUUUUAUUUUACUAUUAUUACUUUUAAAGACUGGGUUUCACCAUGUUGGUCAGGCUGGUCUUGAACUCCUGACCUCAGGUGAUCCACCCGCCUUGGCCUCCAAAGUGCUUGGAUUACAGGCAUGAGCCACUAGGCCCGGCCACCCUCCUCCUCUCUUAAUAGGUAAAUAUUGUCACAGUUUUGAGUUUAAUAAUGUUUCCUAUGGUUACACUUUCUGUAAUAACAAAAAUCAUGCAGUUACAGUGAUAGCGAUCAGGUGCAUUCAUGCUUGAAACCUCAGUUCUGGUCUCUUCUCUCCUCCCUAAACCACGUCUUCUGCUUUUUGGCCAGGUACAUUGCUUCAACUUCCAAUAUAGUUUGCAACACCCAUUACCCAUCUACUUUAUCUCCAACAUCCUAUAGUCACACCAAGACCAGUGUUAGGUGUUAACUCUUAUUUCGGGCAGCAGCAACUCUGUGGUUGGAAAUAUUCUGUACGGUAUGGUGUGAUGUGUCGGCCACACCCAUUACACAUAAAGUGUACUGAUGACUGAGGCCUGGCAGGGGGCCAGGGUCAUAUCAGAAUCCAGAGAUUUCCAUUAAAGUUUAAAGUUCAGUCUUCAAACUCACCGUAGCUAAUAAUUAAUAGCUUAUAUCCUAUCUGCCCCAAUAUGUUUCUUAAUGGUUUUGAGCACUAAUUGGGUGUUAAAUACCUUAUACAUUUAUACAUUAAACCAUUCUCAGAACAUAUUUCCAAUAAACUAUUUAGUUGUGUUUUACAUUUUUUUACAGACGAUGGAAAUGAAUCUUAAAGGGGUUAUGUAACUGACUCAAGUUUACAAUCUACCAAAAGCAGAAUCAAGCACUUGAAACGACUUACUUUUGACACCUCAUAUUUAGCAGAUUGAAGAAGCAGAAAGAAUGGUUACCCGAUAAGGAUUGACUAGAAAUUAAUUUUGAAUGCAAAAUAGUCUUUGAAUCAUCAUCAUUUUAUUUAGCUUGUGUUGUUGUUGUUGUUGUAUUUUUUGUAGAGAUGAGGAUAUCACUUUGUGGCCCAGGCUGGUCCCAAACUAAGCUCAAGCCAUGCUCCCACCUUGACCUCUCAAAGUGUUGGAAUUACAGAUGUGAGCCACCGCACCCCAUCCCAUAACUGUUUACAUAUAGUUUUGGUUUUAUAAAGAAUCUCACUGGGGGCCGGAUGCGGUGGCUCACUCCUGUAAUCCCAGCACUUUGAUCACCUGAAGUCAGGAGUUCGAGACCAGCCUGGCCAACAUGGUGAAACUCUGUCUCUAGUAAGAAUACAAAAGUUAGACGGGCGUGGUGGCAUGCCUGCAGUCCCAGCUACUUGGGAGGCUGAGGCAGGAGAAUUGCUUGAAUCCAGGAGGUGGAGCCGACAGACUGUACUUUGUUGCCCACGCUGGAGUGCUGUGAGCCAAGAUUGCACCACUGCACUCCAGCCUGGGUGACAGAGUGAGACUCUGUCUCAAAAAAAACCAAACAAAAUUUUUAAAAAAACCUCUUUUUUUUGUUUAUUUGUUUGUGUUUUUUUGAUGAUUAAAAACUGUGGCAAAAUUGUGCCUACAGGAAAGAUGGAUAUGCAUUGUAAGGCACAGGUUUGAAGUUAGAUUACACAGCCAUGGGAGAAUGCAAUCUUAUGUAUAAGAUUAGUACCAAACAGCCAUACAUGUCUGCAAUCAAGGGAUUUAUUGUAAACAUUAAAAUGGUCCCGCCAUAUAAAUGGUCUUUAUUUUGAAAUCUACUUAGACCCUAUGUUAAUAAAACUGAUUGAAAAAAGCAAAAAAAAAAAAAAAAAGAUUAGUACACAAAUACAUGCAUCCAUACAAAUAACUCAGAAAUUUUUUUUUACUUCACACUCAGACAUCUCACUGAUAGGCUGCAAAAAAAUGUUAUGCAAAUAAUGAGAGCAUUUCCUUCCAUUAACCUAACUUCAAACAAAUCCAAAUAAAUUCUAAGUUUUAAAAAAGACCAUCCAUUUUGGUGCCAACAACCUUUUUAAGUAAAGUAUUUAUAUACUGAAGUAUUAUAAAAUCCAUAGAUAUUGUUAUAUAUAGACAGACAGUUUCAUGAAUUAAAGUAUGUUUCUUAGAAGACAGAGGCAUGAAAAUAGAGAAACCAGGAAAUAAAACAUGUAACUAAAAACUUACUAGGACUUUAAAAACCACCCCUAGGUCACACAAAACUACGGGGAUAACUUAGUUUGAUUAUCUGUCUAAAUAUGGAUUUUUACCUCUAUGAGAAAGAUCAGGCCAGGUGUGGUGGCUCACACCUGUAAUCCCAGCACUUUGGGAGGCUCAGGCAGGUGGAUCAUGAGGUCAGGAGUUCAAGACCAGCCUGACCAACAUGGUGAAACCCCAUCUCUACUAAAAAUACAAAAAUUAGCCAGGCAUGGUGGCUCGUUCCUGUAAUUCCAGUUACUCAGGAGACUGAGGCAGGAAAAUCACUUGAACCCAGGAGGUGGAGGUUGUAUAAGCUGAGAUUGCACCACUACCCUCCAGCCUAGGUGACAGACUGAGACUCCAUCUCAAAAAAAAAAAAAAGAAAGAAAGAUCAGUCAGUACAUAGUCAAGUGUGUGUGUCCAUGCAUAUAUAUGCAUAUGUAUAGAUAUAUGUAAAUAUAUGUUGUCAUUAUAUCAUAAACCUACAUUCAAUAUAUUUGUGGUAUUUACCUAAAUUUGAACAAAACCUAAAAAUUCCCAGCACAAUUGAGGCAAAAUAAAAUAUAAUUUUCUUACAGUUAUGCAAAAUGACUCUCUACAUUUUAAUCUGUGAGAGGUAGAGGUAGACAAAGGUUAGUGAGGCUCAGCUUGAUCACUGCUUUGUUGAUUUCGAGCAUGUUCUCUUGUGUCUUCAACUAUGAAAUUUAAGAACUAGUGCUAUCAAUAUCAUUGGGUUUAUGAAGACUAGAUGAAAGAAAUUCUAUAAAACACAGAGCCUGGCAUAAAGUAGACUCAAAAACCGUUACUUGUUUUACGGAUAAUCAUUAAAUAUAAUCAAUUAUAGACUAUCUACUUCACUGUUAAAGUGUUAGAGGUAAGUUAUAAAGUAUUAACAAUCAUCAUUUAUAAGACUCUUUUCCUAAGAUUUAUUUCAAGCUCCUGGAGCUUGAGAAUGUAUAAACUGUUUAACAUGUACUGAAUGAGUGUUUACACACAACAUGUUAAAAGAUGAAUUGGUUAGUUAGAUAGAGUUUUACUGGUCUGAUUCUUCAUCUCCUGUUUGGGUAUUUACAUGUCUUAUUAUUCUGAGUUAGGGAAUCCUUUUACUUCCGGUGUCUCUUUUUCUUUAUGCCCAAGUUCUAUCAGCAGAUACUGAUCACAGAGCUUUACAAUGUAGACAGUUUUGCCUAAAAGCCAAGACAGAGGCUCAGUUCCACUUCACUGACACUUAGUGAAACUACUCAGGCUUUGGACUUUAUGACCAAUAUGUUAACUUUUGUUUGUUAUUUCAGAAAGAGAACCCAAAGGGCCACCCAACAAUUCACCACAGAGAAACCUGUUACUAGCCACAUAGGAGCUAACAAGCUGCAGUUGCAACUGAGCUCUUUGCUGCUCUUUCAUGAGGUUCUUACAUCUUGCUGGGUCCCAUGUGAGGCAUAUAACGUAUUAUUUAGAAAAGAUGCACAUUAAGGACUCAAAUUAAGAAAUUUUGAAACAAGUUAUGUUUCCUCCACUCUGGCUUCAUAAACAUCUUUCUAUGCUAAACAAUCAGGGAGACUGUCAAUGUUUUAUUCAAAAUACAUGUUACCAAUUCUGUCACCACCAUUUGCACACUUCUUUUACUGUAUAAACACGUCACUUUAUAAAUAGCUACUGGGCAGCGUAGAUUUAGUUAUAUGCAUAACUUGAACAUUAUUUUGUUUCUUUUGGAGGUUGCCUAUUUCUGAACCCAAUGUGGAAUUCGUAGCUGCUUUGGUUUUUUUAUUCAUUUGCUUAUUUCCUUUAGUGGGAAGCAGUUUUCUGGAUUCUUUUAAUUUGAUGCAGAUGCGAAAAAGGGAAACCUUCUUGUGUAAUGCAACUGGUCAAUAUCCAUAAUUGAAUUUGUAAUUUUCAGUUAAAAUUGAAACUGUAAAAUGAUAUUAUACUUGAAAUAACAACAACAAGGCAGUUUCCAAUGCAUAACAUAUAACUGCAAAGGCAUUGGACAACAUAGAUUAUAAUGGUAUGUUGAAUAGGAACUGAAAGUCAACAUAGCAAACAUCUACCACGACAAAUAUUUCCUUCCUUCGAUUGUAGCUAAGAAACGGUCAUCUCUACUCCUUGGGAAAGGCCAGAACAAGACCCAUAAAAUCACAGAAUGAAUGACCAAUAAGAAGCUGGGUAGUUAAUUUAAAAUGAUGUUCGGAUCUUUAACUCUAGGACAAGGAUAAUCAGAGGCAGAAGGACUUUAAAGUGAUUUCAUAUUGCUAGGUAAAUGUGUGUAAUCUUAUUUAUAUUAAAGAAAGCAUUAAACAAUAAAAUUCCUGAUACACACACACACACACACACACACACACAUUGAAAUGAGACAUACAUGUUGAGCACUAGAAUUGGCACAUAAUGUGUGCUAAAUAAAUGUUCACAACUCUCCCCUAAUAAACUUACUAAAAUGAAAAUGGGUAAAUAAAGGAAAAGUUUCAGUAUUUAUCUUUUCUUUAAUAAUCAUACUGCAGAAUAACAAAAUAAUUAGUGGCAUGUAUUUUCUGGAAUAUAAAAUCAGAGGUUGUGUGAUAAUGGCUACAUGAAUUUACACAUAAUAAAAUUACAUACAUACAUGCACACAAGCAAAUGAAUGCAUAUAUAAAAGAACUAAAAUCUGAAUAAGGUCUAUGGAUUGCACCGCUGUCAAUUUCCUGGUUUUGACAUUGUAUGUAGUUAUGUAAAACACAGGCAUACCUCAGAGAUACUGUGCGUGCUGAUCCAGACAAACACAACAAAUCAGUUAUUGAAAUAAAGCAAGUCACAUGAAGUUUUUCCCAGGGCACAUAAAAGUUACGUUUACACCAUACUGCAUCUAGUAAGUGUUCAAAAUCGUUAUAUCUAAAAAACAAUGUACAUACCUUGACUUAAAAUACGUUAUUGCUAAACAUUGUUAACAAUCAGCUGAGCUUUCAGUGAGUCCUAGUCUGUUUCUCUUUCUGGUGGAUCUUGCCUCACUGAUGUCUGCUGAUUGAUCAGCGCAGUGGUUGCUGAAGGCUGGAGUGACAGUGGCAAUUUCUUUUCUCUUCUUUUUAAUUUUUAUUUUUGAGAUGGAAUCUCACUCUGUCGCCCAGGCUGGAGUGUAGUGGUGUGCAAGUGGCUCACUGCAACCUCCGCCUUCUGGGUUCAAGAGAUUCUUCUUCCUUAGCCUCCCAAGUAGCUGGAAGUAUAGGCACCCGCCACCACGCCCAACUAAUUUUUAUACUUUUAGUAGAGAUGGGGUUUCACCAUAUUGGCCAGGCUGGUGUUGAACUCCUGACCUUGUGAUCUACCCUCCUUGGCCUCCCAGAGUGCUAGGAUUGCAGUUGUGAGCCGCGGCACCCACCCCGACAGUGGCAGUUUCUAAAAAUAAGACAACAAUGAAGUUUACUGCAUUGGCUGCCUCUUCCUUUCACAAAAGAUUUCUCUGUGGUAUAUGAUGCUGUUUCAUUGCAUUUUACCCACAGUAGAACUUUCAAAGUUGGAAUCAGUCCUCUCAGACCCUGCCACUGCUUUAUCAACUACCUUAUUUGUAAUAUUCUAAAUUCUUCCUUGUCAUUUCAACAAUAUUCACAAUGGAAUCUUCACCAGUAGAUUCCAUCCCAAGAAAUUUCUCUUUCCUCAUCUGUAAAAAGCAGUUCCUCACCAUGAAAGCUCUGUUAUGAGAUUGCAUCAAUUCAGACACAUAUUUUCUUUAAAAAAAUCUUAUUCCAAGCUCUAGGAUACAUGUGCAGAAUGUGCAGGUUUGUUACAAGGUAUACAUGUGCCAUGGUGGUUUGCUGCACCUAUCAACCCAUUAUCUAGGUUUUAAACCCUGCACGCAUUAGGUAUUUGUUCUAAUGCUCUCCCUCCCCUCGCCUCCCACCCAUUGAUAGGCCAUGGUGUGUGUUGUUCCCCUCCCUGUGUCCAUGUGUUCUCAUUGUUCAACUCCCACUUAUGAGUGAGAACAUGCGGUGUUUGGUUUUCUGUUCUUGUGUUAGUUUGCUGAGGAUGAUGGCUUCCAGCUUCAUCCAUGUCCCUGCCAAGGACAUAAUCUCAUUCAUUUUUAUGAAUGCAUAGUAUUCCGUGGUGCAUAUGUACCACAUUUUCCUUAUUCAGUCUAUCAUUGAUGGGCAUUUGGGUUGGUUCCAUGUCUUGGCUAUUGUAAAUAGUGAAUUCAACCACAUCUUCAGGCUUCAUUUCUCAUUCUAGUUCUCUUGCUAUUUCUACUGAAUCUGUAGUUACUUUCUCAAAGGCAUCCAUGAGGGUUGAAAUCAGCUUCUUCCAAACUCUUGUUAAUGUUAUAUUUGACCUCCUCCCAUGAACCACAAAUGUUCUUAAAUGGCAUCCAGAAUGGUGAAGCCUUUACAGAAAGUUUUGAAUUUACGUUGCCCAGAUUCGUCAGAGGAAUCAUUGCUUUAAUACAUACAAAAUAUAUUUCUCAAAUAAUAUGACUUAAAAGUUGAAAGGCCUCCUUGAUUCAUAGACUACAGAAUGAAUGUUGUCUUAGCAGGCUUGAAAAUGACAUGAAUCUCCUUGCACAUCUUCAUCAGAGCUCUUGAGUGACCAGGCUCAUUCUCAAUGAGCAGUAAUAUUUUUAAAGGAAUCUUUUUUUCUGAGCACUAAGUCUCGACUACGGGCUCAAAAUACUUAGUAAACCAUGUUGUAAACAGAUAUGCUGCCAUCUGGACUUUGUUGUUUUAUAUAUAGAACACACGUAGAGUAGAUUGAGCAUAAUUCUUAAGGGCCCUACAUUUUUUGAAAUGGUAAAUGAGCAUUGGUUUCAACGAGUCACCAGUUAGCCCCGAACAAGAGGGUUAGCCUGUCCUCUGAAGCUGAUGCUUUGAAACAAGGCAUUGACUUUCCUCUCUAGUGAAGUCAUAGAUGGCUUUUCCAGUAGAAGGCUGUUUCACGUACAUUGAAAAUAUGUUGUUCAGUGUAGCCACCUUUAUCAAUGAUCUUAGUUAUAUCUUCUGAUAACGUGCUGUAGCUUCUUCAUCAGCACUUACUGCUUCACCUUACACAUUUAUGUUAUUAGAUGGCUUCUUUCUGUAAAUCUCAUGAACCAACCUCUGCUAGUUUCCAAUUUUUUUUUCCUGCAGCUUUCUCACCUCUCACAGUCUUCAUAGAAUUGAAGAGUUAGCACCUUAGGCUUUGGCUUAACGAAACAUUAUGUGAUGGUUUAAUCUUUGAUAUGGACCAGUAAAACUUUCUCCAUAUUAGCAAUAAGGCUGAUAUAUAUUAUGUAUAUAGACAUAAUUUGCAUGUUCACUGGAAUAGCAGUUUUGAUUUCUUCCAAAUACUCUUUCUUUGCAUUCACCAUCUGGCUAAAUGGUUGACUGAACAGACCUUUUGGCCUGUGUAGGCUUUCAAAAUGCCUUCCUCACUAAGCUGAAUCAUUUCUGGCUUUUGAUUUAAAGUAAGAGAUGUGUGACUCUUCCUUUCACUUUUACUCUUAAGGUCGUUGUACUGUUAUUAACUGGCCUAGUUUCAGUAUUGUUGUGUUUCAGGAGAUUGGGAGGCCUAAAGAAAGGAAGAGAGAUGGAUAAUGGCUGCCCAGUGAAGCAGUCACAACCGUACAUUGAUCAACUAAGUUAACUCUGUUACAUGGGUAUUGUUUGUUGCAACACAAAACCAUUUCAAUUGUAACAUCAAGCAUCACUGGUCACAAAUCACCAUAAAAGAUAUUGCAAUAAUAGUAAAAAAAGUUUUAAAUAUUGCAAGAAUUACCAAGAUGUGAAUCUGAGACAGAAAGUGAGCACAGGCUGUUAACAAAAAAUGGCACCGAUAGACUUACUUGAGGCAGAGUUGCCACAAAACCUCAAUUUGUAAAAACUACCACACCUGUGAAGCACAAGAAAGUUAAGCGCAGUAAACUGAGGUGUGUCUGUCUUAUCACUGGGGAAACCCAACAGCAGGGACAAGGGAGCACCCUAUGCUAUUUUUGUAACUUUUUUGUCAACCUAUAUUCAUUUUAAAAUAAAAACUGAAAAAAAAAUCCCAGAGGUUAACAGUGGGGCAGUAUUUUUUUCCCUUGGUAUUAAUGCUAGCCAUCCUUUCCUUUCUUCUUAUGUCUCAGCCACGUUGUUGAUUCUCCCACUCCUACUUAAUAAAUGGUCAUGCCACAUCAAAGAUGGUAAAUUCAGAGAUGGCGGAUGUGCUGUUUCCAAUCAAAGCUUGUGAAAGUCAUUGCUGCUCUUUCUUUCUUGAUGAAUACGGACUUGGAAGAUUUCUCUAUCCAACACACUCAAAUAUGCGUUCUUUCUCUUGUGUUAUCCCAAAUACUGUAUUUUAACAUGAACUUGCACAUGUAAAUCAAUAGUAGACUCAUUCAGAAAGAUCUAUCUUGAGGAAAAAAAAUAAAACAAAACAAAAUGAAAAUAACCAAGUAUGAAAAGGAGUUACCAGUUGGUCAAAGUGCAUCCUCCUAGAAGUUUAGUGCCACAAAAUUUUCUCUAGAUAAUCAUUGCUACCUGUUAGGGACAAGAAAACCCCCUCUGUGCAGGCUGACCCCUUCCCUUGCUCUGAUUGCUCUGCAGCUGCACUUCUGAACCUCUACCUAGGCACCACAUCAAGGCUGCCAGACAUGCUACAGUUAAUCAAAGCCUGAUUACAGCCAUCCAGGCAGCUCAAGGGAGGGCAGGGAGAACAUAUAUUGGUUAUCCAUAAUUGUAAAUUCUUGUUUGACACAUAUCUGUAAAAAACUCCUGGUUUCUCUCUUUUUUUAAAAAAGAUUGUCACCACAAAAGUCACAGGAUAAUGUAUUGCAGGUCUAUCACAAGUUAACAAACUAUCUCCGUUCCUGUUCAGUGGAUAGAUUAUGCCCCUCUCACCCUAUUUAAACUCCUUGUUUUGUAAGCUCAGGGUCACCUCCUCUGACUCGUACGGAGCAGCCCGCAGGUUAAUAAAACUUUCCUGCCUGACUUUGGGUCUCCUCUCCUUUCUCUUGGCUACACUUAUACUACCCUUUUUUUUUUUUAAGAAGGAGCCUCACUCUGUCACCCAGGCUGGAGUGCAGUGGUGUGAUCUCAGUUCACCCAGUUCAAGAGACUCUCAUGCCUCACCCUCCCGAGUAGCAGGACUUACAGGUGUGCACCACCACACCAGACUAAUUUUCUAUUUUUAGUAGAGAUGGGGUUUGUCCAUGUUGGCCAGGCUGGUCUCAAACUCCUGACCUCAAGUGAUCCACCCACCUCGGCCUCUUGAAGUCCUGGGAUUACAGGUGUGAGCCACCAUGCCCGGCCUUAGUUUUACACUUUUAUUUGAUUUUACCACUCACUAACAAUUUUAGACACUCUAAUACAUCCUGCUAAAAUCAUUCAAUUGAUAAGAAUUUUGCAAGCAAAACCCACUAUCUAGCUAGUAGGUUUAUUAUUAGCAUGUUUACAAUGAGAUUUUACCAGGUCAGUAACAUCUUUUAUUUUUUCUCAGGGAUCCCUCCCUCCCUGCUAAAAGAAGAAUUUGUAGCCUGAUGUUAGCGAUUUUUUUCCCCCGCUCAAGGAAUACAUUUUCUAAAAGCAGUGAGAUCAAAAUAAAUUUCUUCGUUGGGGAUAUUAAAAUGUACGCUCUAAUUGCAUUCUGCAACAUUUUAAUUAUACAUUUUUAGGUAGAGAAAAGACUCCACUGUUUAUAUCUUAAGUGAAUAUUAAUUUAUUUUCCCGGCUCUUGACUGAGGUUUAAAAGUCGGCUUAGCUAUUGAAGUCAUCACUUGCUCUGAACAAAAGCACUAAUAAACAGCAGGGGAGGAAGAGGGUGGCUUCCUGCAGUGGUCGCUGGUGGACGGGAGGUCCCACAAAGAAAGAUGUUCUUUUGGCAGGAUACCUAACUUUUCAAAAGCAAAUUUAUAUAAGUGAAGCUGGAAAUCUCAGCGGAAUUUAGUCUAGGUUCUCUCUGCAGGAGCCCCAGAGAAUCCUUUGAGUGCAAACUUUAUUUGGAAUUGUGUAUGGAAUAAAGGUACAAAAGGAGGUGUAAUCGGACAGGGAAGGUGGGACACAGUAAAGGUUUUCUGAAUCUAGUUUCUAGAGGAGGGGACUGGAGCAUAACACUUUGAGUGAUUCUGGGAAAUGGGGCAAAACACAAUGUUCAGAAUUACUUGACUUCAGGGCUGAGACUGCUGGACUCUAGAGAAUCCCAAGAUUCAUUUGUAGAGGACCGUUCUGGUGAUGACUAUUCAGCCCUUCCGGACUAGCAUGUCUGAGAACAGCAAGGCUUUCAGCAGUUAUUGGACGGAAAAGAACCCACAGACACAUCUAUACAGAUAACUAGUUGGCCAUAGCUCCCCAAAUAUUCCAAGGGACGUAGGCAAGGCAAUGAUAACCUCAGGAACAAGUGGAGAUGAGUGGAAGAGAUACAGUGCAUGGAAACCAUUCACCUGCCUAUGUGCAAAACUAAACAGAAAGGACAAUCAGAGUUGGCAGCUCAGAAAGAGUUAAAGGAAGGAGACAUAUAUAUAUAUAUGCUUACUCUGUGUGUGUGUGUGGGGGGGUGUGUUUGGAUAUCUUAUUUCAGGCUGGAGUUCUUGAAUUAAACUUGCGUUUGUUGGAUUUUUAUUUCUAAGUCAGUGAACUAAGAAGAAAAAAAAAGACAAUGAUUGAUGGAUGUAUUCUCACCAAACAUGGUUCUCAAAACUUAGAAUAACUUCCAAAGAAAGGUGGUUCAGUUAGUAAUGAAAGUGUAGUAAUAACCCCUGUUGCACAUUCUGUCAUAAAUUUGUACUAUUUCAAGAGAAAAACUAAAAGCAAACCCCUAAACUCUGGUAUUUUAAGGCAAUUUCACAUGGGGGAAAAUAGUAUCAGAUAGGUUUCUUCUAGAUUAGAUUUUUCUAAUACUAAAACUGAAAAUGAAUAGAUUUCAAGUAAGCAAAGGAUUUUUUAAAUAAAUCACUUCAACUAAGAUUUGCCUAAAUUCUGGAUGAAGUAGAUUUUAUGCUUAUAUUCUUCAGUCAGGAUUUAUAUUUCUAUAAAUUUGGUGGUGCAAUGAAACCAGCUCUAUACACACAAUGCACAGUGAAAAGAUGGAAAGGUUUUGAGCUCAUAAAAACUGAGAAAUCAAAGUAGUCUUUGUUUUUUUUUUUCUGUUGUUGGUUGAAAGCCUAUCUUUUAAAAAAUGUUUAUCUAUAGUUACAUUAUAAUGCUUGAACAUAAACAAUAUACACAAUAUAAUAAACAAAAGUUUGAGUGUCUGCUUUUGUAUGAGGAUGCAUGGUAGAUUGUAUUUCCAGAUACUAAGUCAUAGAUCGAAAUCCGUCAUUUGAAGAUUCUUAUUAUAGCCAAUCUCUUCCACAUUGGAAAUUUGACCUGUUCCACCUUUGAUAUUCCUAGCAAUAAGGUUACUCUUCUGUAGACAAAAACGGGUACAUUGAAGUAGCAGUAUAGUAUUUACAUUAGAUAACACACUAAACAAUAUAGUAAUUAAUAUAUUAGUAAAAAUAAAGAAAAUAAAGCAGCUAUGUUCAAAGAACUUUAAGGAAAUGAAAAGUGAGGUGUCGACCAAAGCUUGUAGGGCUAACGUGAAUGAGGCAUUCAAGUGGGAAACCCAUCCAGUUCUACCUUUUUGAACUUUUCCUGUAGUGGCCAGGAAUUAGGUAGGGAUCAGAAGAACAGAGUGACACAGGGAAAUCCCACUUUACAUGACGUUGGGCAAAUUACUUAGCUCUAUAUGCCUCAGUUUUCUCAUUGAUAGAUUGAGGAUAUUUGUGUAUCUUUACUAUCAAACCAUUUGAAGAGAUAAAUGAGCUAACAUAUGCCAAGUUCUUUAAAUUGUGUACAAUUCAAGUACAAGCUAAGUAAUAAAUGUUUGUUAUUAUUAAAAGAGGAAAAUUCUGUGAGUAAUUUUAUUACACGAAGUGAAUUUACCUUUGGUUUGCCAAUCAUUUCCUUCAUUGUCCAGAUAACUCUUCAAAAUGAAUUCUGUUUUCAAACAUUAAAACCAAAACAUCAAAACUUCCUCUCACCUCUUCUCACCUUCUUUAGUGCUUACCACAGUGUUAAUAUUACAAAAGUGCUGUGAGAAUUUCCUGUAUUGUGGUUCCUGGAACACAUUAGAAGCUUCUGAUUUUACUGCUUCUUAUUCGUAUGGUAAUACAUGGCUCAUCAAUAGGUAAUUCAAAAACAUCAUUUAAAUACACAAUUUUUCAUUCUACUUUUUUGCUAUAUUUCUUCACACUCAACUUUCCGAGUCUUUCAACUCCAGCUCAGCUCCAACAAUUCAACGCUGUUUUUUCUGAACAAGUACACAUCGUGCCUUCUCUACAUUGCUCUUGGAACAUAACUUCUCAUGGCAGUGUUUAAGGCCACCUUCUGGAGGUUGAUUUCUGGGACCUUAGGGAUAAUAUGCCUUUCGUUGAUGGCCACACUGGGAAUUUUGUUAAAAAAUUCUUUUACUAAACUGAGCAUUGAGUCAGCAUUUACUCCAGGACCCAACAUAGAACUCCAGAAAGACUCUGACUGCUGUUCUUGCCAGGAAAAAUGGAUUGGUUAUCGAUGCAACUGUUACUUCAUUUCCAGCGAAUCUAGAACCUGGAAUGAAAGUAGGCAUCUCUGUGCUUCUCAGAAAUCCAGUCUUCUUCAGCUUCAAAGCAGAGAUGAACUGGAUUUUAUGAGCUCCAGUCAACAAUUUUACUGGAUUGGACUCUCGUAUAGUGAAGAACAAAAUGCCUGGUUAUGGGAGAGUGGCUCUGUACUCUCCCAGGAUCUAUUUCCAUUGUUUGGAACUUCUAAUCGAAAGAACUGCAUAGCAUAUAAUCCAAAGGGAAAUGCUGUAGAUGAACCCUGUGAAAUUAAAAAUCGUUUUAUCUGUAAGCAACAGGUCAUUUAAAUGUUUCUUGGGGCAGAGAAGGUGGAGAGUAGAGACCCAACAUUACUAAUAAUGAUAUAUUUACCUGUUAUAUUAUUACUUCUUGUCUACUUCUGGAAUCUAUAAAUGUUUCAAACAGUGUCUUAUACAAUUGUCAUAUAUGUGAAAUAAUGUGUUUUACAAUUGAUGAAAUUUGUACAUUUACAUCUGAAAUUAUAAAGUUAAUAUAAAGAAUUUUGUAUUUUGAUUUGAUGUAUAUAUUUAAUGUUAAAUUUGAUGUAGUUUUAUUGCAGAUUUAUGUAACUUUAUUUACAUUCUUGCUAAUUCUCAGCAGAAAUUUAAAUAAAAUUUAACUCACAUCAAAUAAAAUUUAACUCACACUGCCUAAGCUGGAGUGCUGUGGCAAGAUCAUAGCUCAUUACAACCUCAACUCCUGGGCUCAAGUGAUCCUCCUGACUCAGCCUCCCAAGUGGCUAGGACUACAGGUGCCAUGCCACUAUGCCCAGCUAAUUUUUAUUUUUUAAUUUUUUGUGAAGACAAGGUCUCGCUACGUUGCCCAGGCUGGUCUUGAACUCAUGAUCUUGAGUGAUUCUCCAACCUUGGUCUCCCAAAGUGCUGGGAUUACAGGUGUGAAACACCAUCCCUGGCCCUCUUCACAUUCUUGUAUGAAGACUGAUUUAGGAAAAAUGCACUUCAGUUAACUUACAAAAGAUAUAGGAUGAAAUAUAAUAUGUUUAAUUUGAACUAAGACAGCUUAUUAUGAAUUGCUCUUUCUGGAGAUUUUUAAUAUUUUGGUUUUGUUGUCCAUGUGAUUAUAAAAUUAUAUAUUUCUUAAUUAAAAAAUUUAACAUAAGCAAGCAUGUAAUGGUUAUAGAUAUUUUUUGUGCUAACCCUCCUAUCUCCCUGACCUCCUCUCAUGAGGCAUUGUCUUCUGUUUUAACACUUAAGAGUGUUUUUCUCUGCUAUGUAUCAAAGCUGGUCUAUUUUCAUCAUUGAUGUAAUGAAAAAAAAUCAUUUUGAUUGACUUAAGAUGGAAGAAUUUGGACUGGGUGUGGUGGUUUAUGCCUGUAAUCUCAGUAGGAGGCCGAGGCAGGCAGAUCACUUGAGGUCAGGAGUUCAAGACCAGCCCGGCCAACAUGGUGAAACCCUGUGUCUACUAAAAAUAUAAAAAUUAGCUGGACAUGAUAGUGCACACCUAUAGUCCCAGCUAUUUGGGAAGCUGAGGCAAGAGGAUCACUUGAACCUGGGAGGUGGAGGUUGCAGUGAGCCAAGAGUGCACCACUGCACUCCAGCCUGGGGGACAGAGCAAGACUACUCAAAAAAAAAGGGGGGGAAGGAUUUGGAACCUUAGUUGCAUCUGAAAACCUGCCUCAUCUUUGUCAUUUAGUGUAAUCUAAACAUGGAGUAACAUUCCAUCAUAAUCCCAAAUCCUACUCAAACUAAAGGGGAAGGGAUGACGCAGGUGUACACUAGGCCACUGGGGUACCGAUUAGAAACCACUUUAGAGUUAUGUCUACUGUACCCACAUAAUCCUAAAAAUAUGUUACAACUGCUACUUCAUAGUUUAUGUCAUUUUAUUUAUUUAUUUUGAGACAGGGUUUCAUUCCCGUUGCCCAGGCUGUAGUGCAAUCAUACAAUUACAGUUCACUGCAGAUUUGACUUCCUGGGCACAGGUGAUCCUCCCAUCUCAGCCUUCUGAGUACUUGGGACUAAGGUGCCAGCCACCAUGCCCAGCUAAUUUUUCAUAUCAUUUGUAGAGAUGGGGUUUCUCAAUAUUACCCAGGCUGGUCUUGAACUCCUGGGCUCAAGAGUUCUGCCUGCCUUGGCUUCCCAAAGUGCUGGAAUUACAGACAUAAGCCACGGUGCCCAGCCACUUUAUAUAAUUUAAACACUGCCUUUUGGUUCCUUAAUUGACAUAUGCUAGGACAAGUAAUUAUUUUCUGGCUUCCCCAGUAUAUUGAUUCUUGAUUCCUCCAUUAGUUGUGAAGUCCUAAUUAGGGAAAAGGAGGCUGGUGGGAGCAGGGGGAAGGCAGAAAAAGAAAGCACAUAAGCUAUUAGUCUGCCUUUCUUCAUGGUCCAGGACAUGGGCCAUGUGCUUAAGUAUCACCAGACACCUGUAAGUUAACUCACUGCAACUCUGGCGUUAUCAGUACCGUACAAAGUCCUCUGCAGCAUACAGCAUAAAUCCUAUUCCAUAACAUUCCCGGCAAGCCUUUGUUUCUUUGCAGUUGGCUUUCCUUCUGCUGAUGCUGCCUGUUGCCUCCCUGGAAACAUAUUUUCCUACUUUUCUUUAAUGAAUCUGCCUUUCUUACCUACAACUGUCUUGGUAAAUUCUUUUACCUCAAAGCCACUGGCUCAGAUAGCUGUUGCUCACCCACAAUAUUAGUGUAUUAGUCUGUUCUCAUGCUGCUAAUAAAAAUAUACCCGAGACUAGGUAAUUUAUAAAAUAAAGAGGUGUAAUUGACUCAUGAUUCUUCAGGGCUGGAGAAGCCUCAGGAAACUUACAAUAAUGGCAGAAGGGAAAGAAAACACUUCCUUCUUCACAUGGCAGCAAUAAGGAGAAGCUCUGAGCAAAAGGGAAAAAAGCCCCUUAUUAAAUAAUCAGAUCUAGUGAGAACUCAUUAUCACUCCCACUACCACUCCUCACUCCCACGAAAUGUGAGGAUUAUGGGCACUACAAUUCAAGAUGAGACUUGGGUGGAGACGCAGCCAAGCCAUAUCAGUUAGUGACAUUUAAUUCUCAUAAUGCAUGCAUAAGAAAGUGAGUUAUUUUAUAUCUGAACUGGGACAGCUCUUUGUUUAUUUCCAGAAAUGCCUUGGUGUCUAUUUUUGACUUUUGGCCAUGAUAUGGUCGGAACUCACUAUAAAUCAUUAGUUAGCUAGUUAGCCUAACUAAUGGUUUGUCGUGAGCUCUUUAAACUUCAAAAUCCCUCAGUGGAAUCUAGGGUCAAUUUGUUUAUUGAUAGUUUCCACCUGAAAUAAUGACAAAUCUUGUGUCUGCUAUGUGACCAAAUGGACAUACAAGACUGCAGGAAAUUUCAGUUUCAGUUCUUCUGAAACCCAGUUUCAUCACACAAAUAGUGGGUUUCAUCCAGAGAUGAAGGGUGUCUUUGUACAAAUAAGAACAGUGAAGAGCUUGUUUCUAGAUGUCUCUUGGUCCCACACUGCUGAUUUGAAUUGUCUUUCUCCUACUCCAACAUAUUCCUUUCCCUUAUUGAAAGCUUUUCAUGAGUAUGUUCACUGGAACCUUAUAAUUCCUUUCAGUUAUCUAUACCCGGAAAUGUCAGUUCUAUAAUUUUUGACUUUCUGAAACUUUUCUCUUUAUAUCCUAGCCAGUGGUUGAAAAACUUUUUUCAAAGAACUAUAUAGCAUUUAUUUUCAACUUUGUGAGCCAUCCUAUGUUGAAACUACUCAACCUUGCCAUGACAGUGCUAAAGAAGACAUAAAUAAUACAAAAAUGAAUGGUCUGACUGUGUUACAAAAGCAUUUUAUUGACAAAACAUACGGCGAGACAAAUUUGGUCAUAGGCCAUGGUUUGCCAACACGUGCCCAAGUGUGUGAGAUCACUUGAUAUGGAGAAAAUCAGUUACCAUGUCAUGAGCAGCCUCGUUGAAAGGACCAUGUGGCAAGGAACUGAAGACUCUAUGCACAACCAGCAAGGAACUGAAGUCUGUUUCCAACGGCCAUGUUAUAAGCCUUCUUUGCAUGUAUGGGCUCCAGUCCUAGUCAAGCCUUCAGGUGAUUACAGCCCCCAGCCAACGUCUUGACGGCAACCUCAUGUGAGACUCUGAGCUAGGUCCAUCCUACUAUGCUUUUGAGGAUUCCUUGUUCUCAGAAACUGUGUGAAACAGUAAACUGUUUAUUCUUUUAAGUUGCUAAGUAUUAAUGUUUCACAUAGCAAUAGAUAACCAAUACAUAUUUUGGUACCUAGAACGAAGUUACUGUUAUAAAGAGAAAGAAAACACUAAAAUUUUGGAGUGCUUGAAAACAGGCAGUGGAUGGAGGCUAAAAGGACAGGAAAGACUGAAAGCUUUGAGUAAGGGCUUAUAGUAGGGAAGUGAAAACAUAUUAGAAACUGGAGAAAGUAAAAAGCUUUCUAUUUAGUGCCAGAAAGUUUAGCAACACUUUUGCCUGUAGUAUUGUGGAAGGUAGAAAAUGUACUGAAUGAAUUAAGAGAAUGCUCUAAAGUCAUUUCCAGUCAGAGUAUCGAAGAUACUGUCUGCUUUCUUCCUACUGCCUAUAUUACAAUGCUAUAAAAGACACAUAACCUAUUGGAAGGACUUUUAAACAAAAGAAGUUAGAACUUUAUAGUUUUGAGAUUCCUGGACUCUCAAAUUUUAGCAUGUCAAAAAUGCUAAAAUUGAGAAAUAGAUUCUGAGCAAAGGUCUAAUCUAGGGUGCUCUCAGGAAAGCAUGAUUCUAAAGAAGAAGCUGUGGGCGUGACUAAAAUUUCCUGUAAAUGUCAUAGAAAGAACAUAGGUAAUGCCUCAAUUCAGUCUGAUGAAGGAUCUAUAAAGGUCAAAUAAUAGGGCUUCUAGACAGCCCUAGGGCAUUGUCCCUCAGCUGUUUCAGCAGAAGCUCCAGGUAGAGAGAAGACUGAAGGGAUUUAUACAUGUGGUUUUUACAAACAGAGUUCAUAGAAAACCCCAGAACAUUUCUGAGAUGACUAUGUCAGUAGAAAAAUGACAGUGAAGUGCUACCUUGUAUUAAAAACUAGGAAUGAUUCAAAGGACAGAGCUAAGAACCUAUAAGGUGGAUCCAGGAGUUAUAAAGAGUCACUUCAUAACAGAAACAGGACUGAGUCCUGAUCAAGUAAGUCCCAACAUUUGCUGUGCUAGACUUUAAAUUCUUAUGCAUCAGUGACUCCUAUGUAAUUCUCAUGCCCCUCCCUCUUUUGAACAAGGAUGUCUGUAGAGUUCAUUCUUUUGGAUGUUGAGUAUAUAAGGGAAGACAAUCUCUAGUAUUGUUAACUUCACAAGUAUUUACAUGGAGAAAAAUUAUACUCAAGAAGCUAAACUUCAGGAACUACACUUGGUGAGUCUCACCCAUACUUGGGUGUGACAAAUUUCUGGACUUUGUGCUGACAUUGUAACGGGAUGAGAAUUGGGAGUCUGUGUGGAUUUUGUAUGUGGGAGGGAUGUAAAUAAUUUGGGGCCAAAGUUUAGACUCUUGUAAACAGCUUCCUAUAUGCUCCAAAUGAUCCCUGUUUCUUGGAAUUUAACACUUUUGAUGUAAUCAAUUACAUUGUAUAAGGGUUGAUCAGUGCAACCAAGAGAAUAAGGCAGAAGUUACAGCAUGUCACUUUUGAGGCUAGAUUAUAAAAGACAGUAUGUCUUCGGCUUUGCCCUUUCUCAUUUCAUUUGAUUUGGUGGAAGCCACCUACCUUGUCAUGAGCAACUCUGAAGCAUUCCAUGUGGCAAAGAACUGAGGCCUCCUAUAAACAGCUAGCAAGGAACUGCAGCCUCUUGCAGACAGCCAUGUGCGUGAGCCUCCUUGGUUCAACUCUCCAGCCAGUGUCAAGCCUUAGAUAACUACAACCCAACCAACAUUUCGACUGCAACCUCAUGAGACAUCCUGAGCUAGAACCACCUAGUGCAAUUGCUCCUGAUUCCUGACCUCAAGAAACUGUGUGUAGUGAAACGUUUUGUUUUAAGCUUACAGGUUUGAGGAUAAUUUGUUCUUUAUAGUAGUUAGCGACUACAAUGUUUCAUCAUCAUGACCUCAGGAAUAGAGGACAUACUGAUUGACUGAUUGAUUGAUUGAGAUGGAGUCUCACUCUGUCACCCAGGCUGGAGUGCAGUGAUGUAAUCUCGGCUCGCUGCAACUUCUGGUUCACGCGAUUCUCAUGCCUCAGCCACCUGAGUAGCUGGGAUUACAGGCACCCACAUUACACCUGGCUACUUUUUGUAUUUUCAGUAGACAGGGGGUUUUGCCAUGUUGGCCAGGGUGGUCUCCAAAUCCUGGCUUCAAGUAAUCCACCCACAUUGGCCUCCUGAGUGCUGGGAUUAUGCGAAGGCAUGAGCCAUCGCGUCCAGCCAAAGAGAGGACAUUUUAGAACCCAAUAGUAAGCUAGAAUUAUAUUUCCUUCUUUGAGGUUCUAUGAUUAUAACCCUUAUACAAUAAGAAGCAAACUCUUCUGCCAGAUUAAAGGUUUAUUUUUUUGUGUAGUUUUGAGUUCUCAGUUAUGUUAUAUAACCCAUGAGGGUCACUUUGUUCUCAUUGAAAAUAUCCUUCCAAGAGCCCUUACCCACCUGCUGUUAUUUGGACCGGCGCCUUACUAGACCUGCUCCACGAACUGCUCUCAUGAAAUUUUUCUUCACUAAUUUUCUCAUUUACACUAAAUACUUCAUUGGUUACGCCUUUAUAUAUUUUUAAUGGCGUGAAAACACAAUAAAGAAUACCUAUUUUACAUUUACAUUUAAAUCUUUAAGCUAUGCCUACACUUAGAUGAUUACCACCACAUUGAAAUAUAGACUGUCUAGCACCACCAAGACUCUCCUGCUGUUUGCUAAUUGAUACUGUCUCCCCUGUUCCAAGAAAACCACUACUCUGAUUUCUGAAAAUAGACGUUUGUUUAGCUUGUUCUUGAAUUUCAUAUAAAUGGAAGCUUAGCGUAUAUGAUCUUUGUGGUUUCUGUUGCUAAGCUUUACAUCUGUGAGAUACAUCCAUAUCUUUGUGCAGCAGUAGCUCCUUUUAUUGUCAUGUAGAAUUCAUAAGAAUGUGUGAAGCCCAGGCGGGUGGAUCAUGAGGUCAAGAGAUCGAGACCAUCCUGGCCAACAUGGUGAAACCUUGUCUCUACUAAAAAAAAAUACAAAAAUAGCUGGGCAUGGUGGCACAUGCCUGUAGUCCCAGCUACUCAGGAGGCUGAGGCAGGAGAAUUGCUUGAACCUAGGAGGCAGACAUUGCAGUGAGCCGAGAUUGCACCACUGCACUCCAGCCUGGUGCCUGGUGACAGAGCAAGACUCUGUCUCAGAAAAAAACAUAAAUAAAUAAUGUAUCACAAUUUGCUUAUUCACUCUAAUAUCGUUCAACAUUUGAGUCAUUUCCACUUUUUACUAUUAUGAGUAAAAUUGUUAUAAACAUUUUAAUAUAUCUCUUGUGGGACAAAUGGCUUCAUAUCUUUGAGUGGAUGCCUAGGAGUUGAAUUUCUAAGUCAUAAGCUGUCAUAUAUCUAGGCCCUUUUGUUCAUGCUUUAAAAACUUGUAACCAUUUAUUUAUAAAGUUUAUUUAUAAUUUCACUGGCAGUUUAUGUGAGUGUUACUCUACAUUCUUGACAACACAUAGUAUUAUGAAUUAUUUUUGUCUAAGGACCUUCUGGAUACUAUGCAUUUGCAUGCAACUGUACAUUCAAUUUUCAUUUCCCUAAUAAAUAUAUGCUUACCGCUCAUUUUUUUUUAAUUUUUAUAUCCUCUUCUAUGUAGUGCUUGUUUAAUCUUUCAGCCAUUAUCUAGUUUUAACAGCAUUGCUGCAGUAUAAUUGAGAUACAACUUCAUAUGCUUAAAGUAGGACAUUUGAUGUAUUUUCCUAUCUAUGCAUCUGUGAAACCAUCACUUCAGCAAUAUAUAAAACACAUGCUACCUUCAAAAGUAUCCUGUUGCCUAUAUAUAACACUUUCCUCUUGCUCCUCCCCCACAGGUGAGUAUUGUACUGUAUUCUGUUACUCUAAAUUUGCCUUUCUGUGUUUUAUAUAGAUAGAAAUAUAUAAUACAUACAUCUGUGGUCUGGAUUUUUCAUUCAGCAUCAUAGUUUUUAUAGUCAUCUAUGUUGAUACAUCUAUCAAUAAUUAAUUCCCUUUUAUUUCUUCUUUUUGUUUUCUUUUUUUGAGACUGAGUCUUGCUCUGUCACCUGGACUGGAGUAAAGUGACACGAUCUUGGCUUACUGCAUUCUCUACCUCCUGGGUUCAAGAGAUUCUUGAGCCUCAGCCUUGCCAGUAGCUGGGAUUACAGAUACUCACCAACACGCCCAGCUAAUUUUUGUAUUUUUAGUAAAGAUAAGGUUUCAUCAUUUUGACCAGGCUGAUCUUGAACUCCUGACCUCAAGCAAUCCAUCUGCCUUGGCUUCCCAAAGUGCUGGGAUUACAGGCAUGAGCCACCAUUCCCCUAUCCAUUCCCUUUUAUUUCUAAGAGUCUCCUGAUCCUUGAACAAGAUUUGUUUCUUGUACCUCAAUAUACGUAUGCUUAUUUUUUUUUUGUUUCUGAGUUUUGUUUUAGGUUCAGUGAUACACGUGUAGGCUUGUUAUAUGAGUACAUUGCAUGUUGCAGUGGUUUGGUGUACAGAUAAUUUUGUGAUCCUGGUAAUCUGCAUAGUACUCAACAGGCAGGUUUUUAAUCCUUACCCUUCUCCUACUCUCCACCCUCAAGCAGACCCUGGUGUCUAUUGUUUCCUUUUUCUGUGUGCCUAUGUACUCCAUGUUUAGCUCCCACUUAUAAGUGAGAACAUUUGGUAUUUGGUUUUCUGUUCUUGUGUUAAUUCACUUAGGAUAAUGGCCUUUAGUUCCAUCCAUGUUGCUGCAAAGGACAUAAUUUUAUUCUUUUUUAUGGCUGCAUUGUAUUCCAUGGUAUAUAUGGACCAUGUUUUCUUUAUCUAGGCCAUUGUCUCAAUAUUCUUAAAUCAUACCCAGCAAUGUUUUGUAGUUUUUAAUAUGAAGGCCUUUUAUGUUUUUAUAAGAUUUCCCCAAAGUAGUCUUGUGUUUUUAAUGCUAUUAUACAUUGUAUUUUCUAAUUUGAAAUUUUUUAUUUUAAAAUUGUAAAUAUAUAUAUGUUCAUUUAUAUAGUUCAUUAUAAGUGUAUCUUUUAUUGUUCAACCUGCCUAAAUUCACUUAUUCUAGCAGCAUUUCUGUAGAUUUCAUUGGAUUAUCUGCAUAGAUGAAUAAAGAGUUUUACCUCUUUCUUUGGAAAACUACAUGCCUUUAUUUAUUUUUAUUGCCGUGUCACAGUGGCCUGAACAUUCAACACAAAGUUGAAUACAAGUGGUGAGUAAAACACCUCAUUUUGUUAUUGAUCUUAGAGCAUGAAUAUUCACUUUUUUGCCUUUAUACUUAAUUUUAGCUAUAGGAUUUUCAUAAAUGCCCUUUACUAGAUUGAGAAAGUUCCUUCCUGGUCCUAGUCAGAUGAGAAUUUUUAUUAGGAGUGGAUAUGACAUAUGUUUUUAUUAAAUGCUUUAUUCUGCCUUGUUUGAAAUCAGAUAGUUUUAUUUCCCAGUUAUAAACCUCAGUUGUUCAUGUUAUCUUUUUUAUGUAUCUUUGCAUCUAUUUGCUAAUUUCUUUAAAUUUUAUUUUAUUGGGAUCAAAACACAAUGUAAGACCUACCCUCAAUAAAUUUUUCAAGUGUACAGUACAGUAUUAUUAACAAUAGGUACAACGUUGUUUUGUAGAUUUCUAUAAUUUGUUCAUCUUGCAUAAUUGAGGCUUUUUGCCCUUUAAUUAACACCUUCCCAUUUUUUCCUCUCUCCAUUGGCCACUGGUAUGUUUUUUAUGGAAAAAUUAUCAUUCAAGUCUUUGAUGCAUUUUUAAAUUGGGUUAUCUGUGUUUUUUUAUAUUGAGUUGUAGGAGUUCUCUAUAUGUUUUGGAUAUUGACUUUUUUUUUUUUUUGAGACGGGGUUUCGCUUUUGUUACCCAAGCUGGAGUGCAAUGGCACGAUCUCGGCUCACUGCAACCUCCGCCUCCUGGGUUCAAGCAAUUGUCCUGCCUCAGCCUCCUGAGUAGCUGGGAUUACAGGCAUGCACCACCAUGCCCAGCUGAUUUUUUUGUAUUUUUAGUAGAGACGGGGUUUCACCAUGUUGACCAGGAUGGUCUCAAUCUCGUGAUCCACCUGCCUCAGCCUCCUAAGGUGCUGGGAUUACAGGCGUGAGCCACCGUGCCCCGCAACUUCUUUUCUGAUAUAUUUUCUCCCAUUCCUGUAGAUCAUCUUUUCAUUCCAUUAGUUGUUUCCUUUGUGAACCUGGAAAAUUUGAGACAGGUCUCAGUUAAUUUAGAAAGUUUAUUUUGCCAAGGUUGAAAAUGCAUGCCCGUGACACAGCCUCAGAAGGUCCCGCUGAUGUGGGCCCAAGGGGGUCAGAGCACAGCUUGGUUUUAUACAUUUUAGGGAGACAUGAGAUGUCAAUCAACAUAUGUAAAAUGUACAUUGGUUUGGUCUAGAAAGGUGGGACAACUCAAAGCAAAAGUGGAACAAUUGGAAGCAAGGAGGGGGCUUCCAGGUCACAGGUAACAGGCAAGUGGUUGCAUUCUUUUGAGUUUCUGAUUAGGCUUUGCAAACAAAACAGUCAGAUAUGCAUUUAUUUCAGUGAGCAAAGAAAUGACUUUGAAUAGAAUGGAAGGCAGUUUUGCCAUAAGCAGUUCCCAGCUGGAAUUUUCCCUUUAGCUUAGUCAGUGUAGGGGCCCAGUGUAUUUUCCUUUCACAUCUUUGAUGUGAAGAAGCUAUUUGUUUGCUGUAGUCCUACUUGUCUAUUCUUGCUUUUGUUGCCUGUGCUUUUGGUGUCAGAUUGAUGAAAUCAUUGCCAAAACCAAUGUCAAAAGGUUUUCCCCCAUGUUUUCUUCUAAGAGCUAUACGUUUUCAGUACUUACAUUUAGUCUUUUAAUCCAUUUUGAGUUGUGUGUGUGUGUGUGUGUGUGUAUGGUAUAAGAUAAGCAGUUUAUGUCUUUCAAUAUGGAUAUUCAUUUUUCCCAUCACUAUUUGUUGAAGAAACUGUAUUUCCCCUUUAAGUAGUCCUGCCACCCAAAGGCCAUUUAACCAUAUUUGUAACAGUUUAUUUCCAAGUUCUCCAAACUGUUUAAUUGGUCUAUAUGUCCAUCUGUAUGCUAGUGCCACAUUGUUUCAAUUAUUGUGGCUUUGUAAUAUAUUUUGAUAUAAGAAAGUUUGAAGCCUCUGGCCUUUUGCUUCUUGCUCAAGAUUUGUUUGGCUCUUCAGGGUUUCUUGUGAUUUCAUGUACAUUUUAGUAUCAUUGUUUUCAUAAUUCUAUAUAAAAUUCUGUUGAGAUCUUGAUAAGAAUUGUAUUAAAUCUGUAGAUCACAUCAUGAAAUCUGAACAUUUUAACUAUAUGAAGUCUUCUAAUAAAUGAAUACGGGAGGAUAUUUUCAUGUUGACAUUGUACCCUGCAAUUUUACUUAGUUUUAGGAGGUUUUUUUUGUGGAUUCUUUGGAGCAUGCCAUAUGAAAACAGGCACCAUUUUACUUCUUCCUUUAUGAUCUGGAUGCCUUUUAUUUCGUUUUCUUGCCUAAGAACUUUAACAAGGACCAGGGUUAAACAGAAAUGACAAAUGUAAGCAUCCUUGCCUUGUUUCUGAUAUCAAAGGAGAAGUUUAGCUUUUUCUAUAGCAUGAAAUUAGCUAUAUGCUUUACAUAUAGGGCCUUCAAAAUGUUAAAAUAAUUUUCUCAAAUUCUAAGUGGCAGGAGUUAUUAUCAUAAAAUUGGUGUUAGAUAUUGUGAAAACAUUUUUUCUGAAUCUAUUGAGAUGGUCAGGUUACAUUUAUCCCUUAUUUUAUUAAUGUGGUAUAUUACAUCAAUUGAUUUUGUAUGUUAGGCUAUCCUUGCAUCCCAAGGAUAAAUUCCUUUAAAUAUACUGUUGAAUUUAUUUAAAUGUACUCCAUAUACUCCUUUACAUGUACUGUUUAAUUAAUUUUGCUAGUUAUUUGUUGAGGAUUUUUGUAUCUACACUUAUUAGAGAUAUUGGCUUAUAGUUUUCUUAUGGUAUCUUUCCCAGGCUUUGGUGUAAUGGUAAUGCUGGCCACAUAAAAUUAAUUUGAAAAUAUGUGUUUUUUUUUAUUUUUUAUAUAAUAGCUUGAGAAAGAUGAGCAUUAAUUUCCCCUUAAAUAUUUGGUGACUUCACCAGAAAAGCCAUCUUGUCCUGGGAAUUUUUUUGUUGUGAGUUUCUUGAUUACUGAUUCAAUUUUCAUUCUAGUUAUAGAUACACUCAGAUUUUCUAUUCCUUCAUAAUUCAGUCUUAGUAGGUACUUGUUUUUAUAAAUUUUUCAUUUUUCUAGGUUAUCCAAUUUGUUAGCCUAUGAUUAUUUGCAGUUGUCUCUUACCAUGUUUUGCAUUUCUUUGGCAUCAGUUGCAAUGUCUCUUACUUUAGUUCUGAUUUCAUUUAUUUGAGGCCUCUCUUAGCCUAGCUAAAGGUUUGUGAAUUUAUUUAUAUUUUCCAAAAACGAACUCAGUUUUGUUUACUUUUUAUAUUUUCUUUCCAUUCAGUAUUUUAUUUCUGAACUAAUCUUUAUUUCCUUUAUUCUUCUAAAUUUGAACUUCGUUCUUUUGUGUCUGUCUUUUCUAGUUUUUUGGGGUAUGUAUUAGUUAAUUUUCACUCUGUUGAUAAAGACAUACCUGAGAGACUGGGUAAUUUAUAAAGAAAAAGAGGCUUAAUGGACUCACAGUUCCAUGUAGUUGGGGAGGUCUCAUUACCAUGGCAAAAGGUAAAAGGCAUGUCUUACAUGGUGGCAGGCAAGAGAGAAUCAAAGCCAAGCCAAAGGGGUUUCUCCUUAUAAAACCAUCAGAUCUUGUAAGACUUAUUCACUACCAAGAGUACAGUAUGGGAGAAAUCACCCCAUGAUUCAGUUAGCUCCCACUGGGUCCCUCCCACAACAUGAGGGAAUUAUAGGUGCUACAAUUUAAGAUGAUAUUUGGGAGGGGACAAACCCAAACUAUAUCAAGGUAUAAAGUGAGUUGUUUGAGAUCUUUCUUUUUUCUUAAUGUAGACAUUCAUCACUACAAACUUUUCUUUUAGCCCUACUUUUACCACAUCCCAUAAGUUUUGUUAUAUUUUUGCUUUCAUUAUUCUAAUGAGUUUUAAAAUUUCCCUUUUGAUUUAUUCUUUGACAGAUUUAAAAAUGUAUCAUUAAAUUAUCACAUAUUUAUUAGUUUUCCUUUUGCAAUUGAUUUCUAGUUUCAUUCCCUUGAUGCUGUAAAAGAUACUUGAUAUGACUUCAAUUUUCUUAAGACUGAUUUUAUGACCUAACAUAUAAUCUAUCCUGGAGAAUGAUCCAUGUGCACUUGAGAAGAAUGUAUACUCUGCUGCUGUUGGAUGGAAUGUUCUGUAUAUGUCUGUAGGUGACUUGAUUUGCGGUGUUGAUCAGGUCAUCUGGGUCGUUGUUGCCUUUAUGUCUGGUCAUUCUAUCCAUUAUUAAAAGUGAGCACUGAAAUCUACUUUUAUUGUAUUGCUAUCUAUUUCUCCCUGAAGUUUAGUCAAUGGUUGCUUUAUACUUUUAGAUACUCUGAUGUUGGGUGCAUAUAUGUUUAAAAUUGUUAUAUCCUCCUGGUGAAUUGACUCCUUUAUCAUUAGAAAAUGUCCUUCUUUUUUUCUUGUGACAAUUUUUGACUUAAAGCCAAUAUUUUAUAAUAUCAGUAAAGGCAUUUUUGUUGUCUUUUAGUUAUUAUUUGGCAAGAGAUUUUUUUGCAGUCUUCUUCAGCCUUCAUGCUAGUCCAAACUGGCUUUUUUUCUUAGUAGAUCCUAGGCAUUUAGUAUAUGCCAGGUCCUGUCAGCACUCUGAGGUAAGCAGGAAUAAAGCUAGCUCCUUAGGCAAUCUCCAGAAAAUAUGGAUUAUCAGAUGUUUAGUUCAACUUUUUCCCCCGAGUAAAAGCUGAGAGCUGAAGGUUUUGGUCCUCUCACUCUGGGUUGAUCCAAGGAGAGAAACUGCCAGGCUAUGAAACUGCCAGCUGACACACCACCUAUGUUCGUGUGGGUCCCAGGCAACCAGGCUGUGUUUGGUCCUAUCGGUAUACUGAGACAGGCUAGAGAGAAGCCAGUCUUGGGAGUAACUCCUGGAAAAACUGGGGAAUUGGACAUGUAAUCCAUUAUUUAUUAACCAAGAGCAAAGCUGGGAGCUGGGGAGCUUCUUUCUGCUUUUUUGGCACUGUGCUGGGGGUAGGAAUUAUGGCUGGAGUGUCCUUUAGAUUUCCCUAAAGUUUCAGUAUGAGUAUUUUCACCAAGAGCAUAGGAGAAUCUCAACUAGUUUCUUAAUAUCUCACAAAGAAAAUUUGUCUAUGAAUUUUUCUUUGAAUGGGUGUGUUUGUAGGGAUCCUAUUCUGUCAU